rnacentral:rRNA from 1 species
AUGGCCUCCACGCCAACGAGCUUCGUGGCCGUGGCGCUCCUCAUGGCCGUCAUGCUCAGCACGUGCCGAGCUGCGCGCCUCCUCGCCGACGUUCCGGCCUUGCCGGAACCGACGCUGCCGACCUUGCCCCCGGUCGUUCCCACGGUCCCUGCCCUGCCAGGCGGCGUCGUGCCGACCGUGCCGACCGUGCCGGAAGUGCCGACAGUGCCGCUGCCAACAGUACCCAGCGGCGUCGUGCCGACCAUCCCGACGGUUCCCACCGUGCCGGAGGUGCCGACGGUGCCCACCGUGCCAGGUGUGCCGGCGGUGCCGCUGCCAACAGUACCCGGCGGCGUAGUGCCGACCGUGCCGACGGUUCCCACCGUGCCAGGCGUCCCGACGGUACCGUUGCCGGCAGUACCCGGCGCCGUCGAGCCAACAGUGCCAACCGUGCCAAGCGUGCCAACUGCCGCCGAUGCCGUCCAUCCCCGGUGA